rnacentral:rRNA from 1 species
CUCAGGACGAACGCUGGCGGCGUGCCUAAUACAUGCAAGUCGAGCGGGUUGAUGGGAGCUUGCUCCCUGAUAUUAGCGGCGGACGGGUGAGUAACACGUGGGCAACCUGCCCUGCAGAUGGGGAUAACUCCGGGAAACCGGGGCUAAUACCGAAUAAUCAGUUCUUCCGCAUGGAAGAACUCUGAAAGACGGUUUCGGCUGUCACUGCAGGAUGGGCCCGCGGCGCAUUAGCUAGUUGGUGGGAUAACGGCCUACCAAGGCGACGAUGCGUAGCCGACCUGAGAGGGUGAUCGGCCACACUGGGACUGAGACACGGCCCAGACUCCUACGGGAGGCAGCAGUAGGGAAUCUUCCACAAUGGACGAAAGUCUGAUGGAGCAACGCCGCGUGAGCGAAGAAGGUUUUCGGAUCGUAAAGCUCUGUUGCGAGGGAAGAACAAGUACGGGAGUAACUGCCCGUACCUUGACGGUACCUCGUCAGAAAGCCACGGCUAACUACGUGCCAGCAGCCGCGGUAAUACGUAGGUGGCAAGCGUUGUCCGGAAUUAUUGGGCGUAAAGCGCGCGCAGGCGGUCCUUUAAGUCUGAUGUGAAAGCCCACGGCUCAACCGUGGAGGGUCAUUGGAAACUGGAGGACUUGAGUACAGAAGAGGAAAGCGGAAUUCCACGUGU